GAUGAACGCUGGCGGCGUGCCUAAUACAUGCGAGUCGAGCGAACGGACGAGAAGCUUGCUUCCCUGAUGUUAGCGGCGGACGGGUGAGUAACACGUGGAUAACCUACCUAUAAGACUGGGAUAACUUCGGGAAACCGGAGCUAAUACCGGAUAAUAUUUUGAACCGCAUGGUUCAAAAGUGAAAGACGGUCUUGCUGUCACUUAUAGAUGGAUCCGCGCUGCAUUAGCUAGUUGGUAAGGUAACGGCUUACCAAGGCAACGAUGCAUAGCCGACCUGAGAGGGUGAUCGGCCACACUGGAACUGAGACACGGUCCAGACUCCUACGGGAGGCAGCAGUAGGGAAUCUUCCGCAAUGGGCGAAAGCCUGACGGAGCAACGCCGCGUGAGUGAUGAAGGUCUUCGGAUCGUAAAACUCUGUUAUUAGGGAAGAACAUAUGUGUAAGUAACUGUGCACAUCUUGACGGUACCUAAUCAGAAAGCCACGGCUAACUACGUG
rnacentral:rRNA from 1 species